AGACUUGAUGACAAAAAUAACUGGUUGAAGGGUCCAAAGUGGGAUGAUGAAGGAAGGCCCUCGGACCUUGUAAAGGCUAGUGGGUGGGAUGAAGGAAGGCCCUCGGACCAUGUAAAGUCUAGUGGGUGGGAUGAAGGAAGGCCCUCGGACCAUGUAAAGUCUAGUGGGUGGGAUGAAAGUGUAGUAAGAAAAGAUACUGCUGUCACAGUUCUUACAGAUAGGACCAAUGAAAGAUUGGACCAUAGUUUUGAAAAUGAGAGCAGAGCCUGGGGAAGCACAGAACCACAUUAUAU
rnacentral:lncRNA from 1 species